AACGAACGCUGGCGGCAUGCUUAACACAUGCAAGUCGAACGAGACCUUCGGGUCUUGUGGCGCACGGGUGCGUAACGCGUGGGAACCUGCCCUUAGGUUCGGAAUAACUCCCUGUAAGGGGUGCUAAUACCGGAUAAUGUCUUCGGACCAAAGAUGUCCGGCUUCUGGAUGGGCGCGCGUUGGAUUAGCUAGUUGGUAGGGGAAAAGCCGACCAAGGCGACGAUCCAUAGCUGGUCUGAGAGGAGGAGCAGCCAGACGGGGAGUGAGACACGGCCCAGACGGGGACGGGGGGCAGCAGUGGGGAAUAUUGGGCAAUGGGGGAAAGCGUGAUCCAGCAGUGCCGGGGGAGUGAGGAAGGCCUUAGGGUGGUAAAGCUCUUUUACCCGGGAUGAUAAUGACGGUACCGGGAGAAGAAGCGCCGGCUAACUACGUG
rnacentral:rRNA from 1 species